rnacentral:misc_RNA from 1 species
UUAUCUUUGCUAUGUUCAGAUUUUAUGUAUUAUAUAUAUGAUAUACAAAUACUAUUUUAAUCUAUAUGAUCACAAAUAUCUAUUUAAUAGGUACUCGAAAAAUUGCUAAAAAUUGCACGUCCACACUUAAAGUUACCCAAACUGUAGAUGGACAUGUUAUUGUUAAUGCUUGUUAUUCACACUAUGGACAUAAAAAUGAAAUUCAACAUAUUUCUCUAUCAAGCGUUCAAAGGCAAGAAAUUGCUUGCAAACAUAAAAAUGGGUGUAACCAAAUAUAGAAUUCUAAAUGAUAUUAGAGAUGAAACAAGUUGUGUUCAAUCCAGGUUACAUUUAACCCAGCGUCAAGAUAUCAAAAACCUAGAAAAAGCAUUCAACAUUAAUUCUAUACAACUUCAUGCCAGUGAUCGAGACAGUGUUGCAAUUUGGGCUAAAAGAAUGGCAAAUGAAGACAAAUAGUCCUGUUUUAUAUUAUAAACUACAAGGUGUGUUAGAUACAUGUAAUACAUUUAAAGAAUCAGACUUUAUAAUUAUAAUGCAAACAGAGCACCAAAAAAAAAAUGCUGCAACAGUUUGGAAAAAAAUGGUGUUUGUAUUGAUUCUACGCAUGGCACAAAUGCAUAUGAUUUUCUUCUCACUUAAAUGGUAGUUGUAGUUGAAUUAGGUGAGGGGCAACCUGUUGGAUGGUGUAUAGCAAACAGUGAUUCAUUUAGAUUUUUAUAAAUUUUUUUUAUAAAAUUACAAGAACAUUCUGGAAGUUUUUGUCCAAAAUGGAUAAUGAGUGAUUUGGCAUCCCAAUACUAUGAAGCAUUUUGAUGAUGUUUACUUAUGCGCGCCUCUGAAAUUCUGGUGUACCUGGCAUGUUGAUAAAGCAUGGAGAGAAGAAUUGCAUAAAAAAGUACACAAUCUUGAAAUGGAAGCAGAUAUAUACAAACAAAUAAGAUUUGUUUUACAGCUUAGUGAUAAAAAACUAUUUGAUGACUAUUUAAACUCAUUGAUGGGUUACUUGCAAUCAUCAGUUUUGACACAAAUGUUCGCUGAAUACUUUGAAAAAUAUUGGGUUAAUAAUAAACAUAUAUGGGCAUUCUGUUAUCGUAUGGGUCAUGGCAUAAAUACUAAUAUGUAUAUGGAAUCUUUCCACAAAGUUUUUAAGUACAGUUACCUGCAAGGUAAGCACAAUAAAAGAAUUGAUAAUUGCUUGUUCGCUUUGUUAAAGUUUAACAGAGACAAAGUGUAUGAAAGAAUAAUAAAGUUAACAAAAGGAAAGAUUAGCUAUAAAUUAAAAAUGGUGCAUUCUAGACACAUUGCAAGCCUACAGCUAUGUGAAAGUUUUACUAAGGACAAUAAAGGAGCCUGGCUAAUACCAUCUGAAACAAAUACUUGCCAUUACAGAGUUGUAAUACACCAAAAAUUGUGUGACAUCACUGAAUGUUUCACUAAAUGUCCAGAAUGUAAAGUUUGUACUCAUUUAUAUAGUUGUGACUGUAUGGAUUUCUUAACUAAAAAUAUCCCUUGUAAGCAUAUCCAUUUAGUGCAUCGUCAUAGUAAUCCUAGUAUACUUACAACAACUAUACCUCUCGAUUUCCCAACAUCUUCAAUUGAAUUGGACUGCAAAAUAAUAAAAGGUUGUGAACCUGCAGAUAUUAACAUUUUAAAAGAUAGCAUUAUUAGAAGUUUAAAGAAUCUAGCUAAUUUAGUAUCCCUUAGUUCAAUAUCAGAUGAGGAUAGUUUGCAGACAUUACAGAAAAAUAUAUCAUUAGCUAAAAAUACUUUCUUAAGCCUAACAGCAAAUAAGCAAAAUGAAUUACAUAUCAAAAGUUAGGUUCCAUCAUACAAAACAAUAACUAAGCAGCCAACAUUUAAUUCAACAAAAAGAAAAAGAAAAACAUCAAACUUUAGGCUAGCAUAACUUUCAGCUACCGAAAUAAAUAACUUAUUAGAUAUCUCCAACUGGACCAUGAAAACAAAAGAAACUCACUUACAGUCACCAAGUAAAUUGACCAAAGCAAAACUUGGUACAACAUCCAAUAGUAAUAUAAAAACAAACAUAUUGUCGAUAG